rfam:Cavia porcellus supercont2_133 genomic scaffold, whole genome shotgun sequence.
GGGGAUUUAGCUCAGCGGCAUAAGCGCCUGCCUUGCAAGCAGGCAGUCGUGAGUUCAAUCCCUG